ACAAAAAUCACCUGGGGAUCUUGUUAAAAUGCAGAGUCUGAGUAGGUUUGGGGUGGGGCCUAAGAUUCUGCAUUUCUAACAAUCUCCCAGGGGACAGGAUC
rnacentral:pre_miRNA from 1 species